CGUGGGUAACCUGCCCAAGAGAUCGGGAUAACACCUGGAAACAGAUGCUAAUACCGGAUAACAACAGAUGAUGCCUAUCAACUGGUUUUAAAAGAUGGUUCUGCUAUCACUCUUGGAUGGACCUGCGGUGCAUUAGCUAGUUGGUAGGGUAACGGCCUACCAAGGCGAUGAUGCAUAGCCGAGUUGAGAGACUGAUCGGCCACAUUGGGACUGAGACACGGCCCAAACUCCUACGGGAGGCAGCAGCC
rnacentral:rRNA from 1 species